rnacentral:rRNA from 1 species
AGCGAACGCUGGCGGCAGGCUUAACACAUGCAAGUCGAACGCCCCGCAAGGGGAGUGGCAGACGGGUGAGUAACACGUGGGAACGUACCCUUUGGUUCGGAAUAACUUGGGGAAACUCAAGCUAAUACCGGAUAAGCCCUUAUGGGGAAAGGUUUACUGCCGAAGGAUCGGCCGGCGUCUGAUUAGCUAGUUGGUGAGGUAAUGGCUCACCAAGGCGACGAUCAGUAGCUGGUCUGAGAGGAUGAUCAGCCACACUGGGACUGAGACACGGCCCAGACUCCUACAGGAGGCAGCAGUGGGGAAUAUUGGACAAUGGGGGCAACCCUGAUCCAGCCAUGCCGCGUGAGUGAUGAAGGCCUUAGGGUUGUAAAGCUCUUUUACCCGGGACGAUAAUGACUGUACCGGGAGAAUAAGCCCCGGCUAACUUCGUGCCAGCCGCCGCAGUAA